AGAGGUGUGGUUCAGUGGUAGAAAGCAUGCUCAGCAUGUGUGAGGCCCUGGGUUUAAUCCCCAGUGCCCCAA
rnacentral:tRNA from 1 species